CUCCUUUUCCAAUGCCGCUACACGGUCCGAGUUUGGAAAAUGAUCAAAUCUUGGCUUGGCUUGGUUGAUGUGAACCCUACAGCUUGGGUGACGGUCCAUUCGGUGAAAGCCUGGUGGAAUCUCAUUGACUCCAACGCAUCGCAGUCUCGACGGGCGAUGAUGUCUCUUAUUAUGUUGAUCUCAUGGGAAAUUUGAAACGAGAGGAAUGCACGCGUCUUCCGUAACACCGCGGUGCCGGUUUGGGUUCUUGUUGCAAGAAUCAAAGAUGUUUCAAAGCGUUGGUGCCUUGCAGGGGCAAAAUAUUUGAGUACCGUAGUGCCGCGAGAGUGA
rnacentral:rRNA from 1 species